rnacentral:rRNA from 1 species
GACGUAGGUGGCAAGCGUUGUUCGGAAUCACUGGGCAUAAAGCGCACGUAGGCGGCCAAGUAAGUCAGGUGUGAAAUACCUCGGCUCAACCGAGGAACUGCGCCUGAUACUGCUUUGCUUGAGUCCGGGAGAGGUGAGUGGAAUUCCCAGUGUAGCGGUGAAAUGCGUAGAUAUUGGGAGGAACACCAGUGGCGAAGGCGGCUCACUGGACCGGAACUGACGCUGAGGCGCGAAAGCGUGGGGAGCAAACGGG